AGCGAACGCUGGCGGCAGGCCUAAUACAUGCAAGUCGAACGGCUCUUCGGAGCAGUGGCGGACGGGUGAGUAACGCGUGGGAAUGUGCCCUUUGGUACGGAACAACACAGGGAAACUUGUGCUAAUACCGUAUGUGCCCUUCGGGGGAAAGAUUUAUCGCCAUUGGAGCAGCCCGCGUUGGAUUAGGUAGUUGGUGAGGUAAAGGCUCACCAAGCCUACGAUCCAUAGCUGGUCUGAGAGGAUGAUCAGCCACACUGGGACUGAGACACGGCGCAGACUCCUACGGGAGGCAGCAGUAGGGAAUCUUGCGCAAUGGGCGAAAGCCUGACGCAGCCAUGCCGUGUGAAUGAUGAAGGUCUUAGGAUUGUAAAAUUCUUUCACCGGGGACGAUAAUGACGGUACCCGGAGAAGAAGCCCCGGCUAACUUCGUGCCAGCAGCCGCCGUAA
rnacentral:rRNA from 1 species